GGUCAGUUAGCUCAGUGGUUUGAGCGUGGUGCUGACAACAAUGACACCGAGGUCGCGGGUUUGAUUCCCGCUUGGUCCC
rnacentral:tRNA from 1 species